rnacentral:rRNA from 1 species
AACGAACGCUGGCGGCGUGCCUAAGACAUGCAAGUCGUGCGGAAAGGCUCCUUCGGGAGCGCUCGAGCGGCGCACGGGUGAGUAACGCGUGGGUAAUCUGCCCUCGGGUCUGGGAUAACUCCGGGAAACUGGAGCUAAUACCGGAUAAGACCACGGGACCUUCGGAUCUCGCGGAAAAAGGUGGCCUCUGCUUGCAUGCCACUGCCUGUCGAUGAGCCCGCGUCCCAUUAGCUUGUUGGUGGGGUAACGGCCUACCAAGGCGAUGAUGGGUAGCUGGUCUGAGAGGAUGAUCAGCCACACUGGAACUGAGACACGGUCCAGACUCCUACGGGAGGCAGCAGUCGGGAAUUUUGGGCAAUGGGCGAAAGCCUGACCCAGCAACGCCGCGUGAGGGAUGAAGGCCCUCGGGUCGUAAACCUCUGUCGGGAGGGGAGAACGGUCGCGACUCGAACAGAUUCGCGGCCUGACGGUACCUCCAAAGGAAGCGCCGGCUAACUCCGUGCCAGCAGCCGCGGUAAUACGG